UCUCUACAUUCUUUCAUGUUACUAUUGGAAUAUUAUUCUAUACAAUAAACAUUUAUUUCCAUGAAAAGUCUAAUAUCACUUCAAGAAAUAAGACUCUUGUAAGUCUAAGUCAGUGUUGGAAACAAUCUGAGUUCUGAGGCAUAGGACCUGAUAUUAGACCUGGGAUGGAGCUGUAGCCAGCUGGCUACAUGGGCAACUUAUUUAACUCCUCUAAAGAUCUUCUAAGCUCUAAUAAGUAAUACCAAUGUUUGUUAUUCAUUUCUAGCUCCAGAGGUUUGGCAUGAGGGAAAUCUUAUUUGGGCUCCUGGGUAUUUAAAAAUUAUUUAUUUGUCUUCUAUUAAACCAUCCAUCCAUCCACCCAUCUAUUCAUCCAUCCAUUCUUUUAUCUGCCUAGUUUUUUUAACAAAUGGUGAUGGAAUUUCUGCUAUGUUCCAGAUUCCAAAUCAGGAACUAGGAUUAUAGACAUGAAUAAGACAUAGUAUAAAUUCCUGUUACCAAAGAACUUCUAUCUACAAAGAGUAGCACAUUUAUAUAUGUUUGUAAUGAAAUGGACACAAUAGACCUAUUAAGCCAUGAAGAAAAUGUAAUCACUUCAUAUUAUUUUGUUUUUUUCAAGUCAUUGACUAGGAACAAAGUUGAAUUUGUGAGGAUUUCAAUUGUCAAUUAUUCUACAGUAGAAAAUAGAGCAGGUGUUGGACAUAGAGAAGGGAGAAACUUUCUGUGGACUUGGCAUCCAGAAAGGGAUGCUACCAGGAAGCUCGUGAGCAAUUCUGAUUGUGAGAAUCAACUGCCUCUGAUUCAUGCAGCCAGGGCAGGUAAGCAGAGCCUGUAAUCCUCUUUCCCUCCUCUUGGGGAAGUGCCAGACAGUAGCCAUAGAGGAUGCUUUAUUUCCAAACUUCUCAUUCUGACACAUAGCAAUUCAGGGAAUUGAGAAUUAUUGGAAUACUCGGGAAGAGCAGAUAACAUCCCCACAAUUAGCCUGAUUAUUACCUUUAGGUCCAGUCACCCUGGCAUUGUGGGGACAUCUUGGGAAAGUGAUAUGUAUGCAUGUAACAGAUGAUCCUAACUAGUUGCAUGGGUAAAAUAACUGGAAAGAAAUAAUUGAGUUGUCAGAUCCCCGGUCAAAUGUGCUAGGUUUAGUCUGGAGCUUCAGACUUGACAGGGGAUUAGAUGCCAAGGAAGAAUGGGGGAAAGUAGACCUGUGAGGUGGGUCUUUGCCUGGGUAUGAGGGAAGCAGGAGUGUCAUGUUCUGGUUUGAGUAUAUGUCCAUGUUCUUGUGUGCAUACAGAUAUUCUACACUACAAUCAAGAUAAAAUUCUGGAACAGUGCAGUUCACAGUGAAGUGACAUAUGAAGGGAAAUUAAGAUUUUCCAAAUCCUUACCAUGCAAAUUUUUUAUAUUUCUCUGAACAACAUUAAAUAAUACUUAAAAUGUAUUACACAAGUAAUAAAUGUGUUUGGGUUGUUAUUCUUACCAAUGCUUAGUUGAAAUAUAGGAACCCACUCAGGGUAGAAAGAUUUAAGCAAAAAGAAGAUGGAGGAAAAAGAAUUCUACAUGUACUGUAAUGAACAAGCUAAAUUAAUGGAGUAUGUUCAGAAAGUAAUAUUUUUGAACUAUAUUUAAAGAAAUAUAGUAGAAAGACAUAUAUAUAAUAAGCUUCACAAAUUUGAAGUAUACCAUUACACCUUUGACACACCUAUGUACUCAUGAAACCAUCUUUACAACCAAGAUAAUACACAUACUAGUCUCCCCCCAAAAUGCCCUUUUGCAACCUUUAGAAAUCAACUUCAUUUUUACUUACUAAGCUUCUUUAAACUUAUUUGGAGGGAUCAGUUAAUCCAGCAUGCAUGAAUGAAUACUUCAGGCUGUUCCUUCCAAAAUUCCAGAAUGUUCAAGACUUAUUUUAGGUAAUAAAAAAUGUUGAAAUAGUCACUGUCUCAAAAAAUGUACUUAAUUUAUAACUUAAAUGGUUUCUCCCACAUAAUAGUGAAAUCUUAAAACUAGAUUUACAGUUACAACUUUUCUCGCUCUCCCACCUCAUGUAGUGGGAAGGCUGCUGUGGCAAAAAAGGACAGGGCCAGCCAGGCUGUCUUCUCCAUGUGGUGCUUUUCCUCUUGCUUUGUAUACCUCGGGUUGAAGCACCGUGGUCAGGAAAAGGGAAGAGAAGCACGUGGUCCUUUCAUGAGUGUUUCUGUCUGGUGAGGGUGCUUAGUUACCUUCUUUAGAGAAGCCCACCCUUUCACUCAUGGCUGGAGGACUUCUGUCUUACAGGACUCUAGAUGCUGCUGCUCCCCUCCAGCUAGUUGUCUGCUCCCUUUUCAGCUACUAUAUUUGGUAGUGCCCUCAGUUUGUUUCUGCUGAGACCUUUUCAUCCCACCAGAUCCUCUUGGGUAAGAGCACAUGAUCCCAUGCAAGCUUCCUCUCACAUAGACCCACAUAUGGCUUAAUUUUCUUCCCUCUUCAAUCUGUGCUCCUCUACAUAAACAGCCAGCUGGUCAUAUUUUGUAGACCUAUAGAUUUAUUAGGUGUAGUCCACUAAGUCCUCCACCUCAGAGGAUAAAAACUAAGGGUCAUUAGUGGUCUCCUUGAGUUUAAUUUGACUUGAGGUAAAGGUAGAGGUAACUUCUGACUGUCUCCCUUAGGGAGUUGAGACUGAAAACACAGACUCUUCUUCAUUCAUUGCUAAUCUCCAACUUUUUUGUUAUGGGUGAGAGUUUAGAGUUACAAGGACAGAAUUUUGCAUAUUUGUCUUAAUGGCCUCUCAACUCACUUCAGAAUAUUGCAUAUGUUGUCUUCAGCUAAAAUUAAGAAAGGAAUAACUCCAUUUGAACAUCUUUUUUUUUUAACCUAGAUUUCACAUCCUGGGGAUCAGUGAUGUGAUGAAAUGUGAAAAGUUGUGCUCUCCUGGAGGCUCUUGCUUCUGAUUUUUUGUUAUCUUUCCUUAAGACAGUAAAAAUAUGAAACUGCUCUCACAGAUCAGAGUCUGGUGAAUAACACAUAUCAUUCCUUCUCUCUAUUUCUGCCAAAAUUAUGCUUAAAGAUUGUACAUAACAUUGUAACUUUUAGCAAAAGUAAGCAUUGAACACACAGAAAGGGUUAUCAAAGAGAAUAUGUUUUAGGAAUAAGAACAUGUUCUGUAGUCUAUGACUGGUUCAUUUUUGUAUCUUCUAAGUCUCUGACACAAAGUGUGGCCCAUACAUUUUUACAAAUGUAACUGUUCAGCAGUAUUGACUCCUGAGUUAGGAAGCCCCACAAUACCCAUUAGCUCAAUGUUGGCUGAAGCCAAAUGAUCUCAGAGCACCCACGCUGAGGCCCAGCGUGGGUCACCUAGAGUUGUCACCUUCUGAUUUCCAGACUCUUCUUUUUCAUUACUGAGGACUUGGGGAUUUGAUCACGAUCUUUCUAUUCCUCUAUCUCAGAAAAUGUCAAUAUGUACAUAAGGCUACAUAUCACAACCUAGCUUCCUAAGAUUUGAACCCCCUUAAACUCUUUGACCAUGUCCUCUACUCCAAUUCAGAGACAUAUCUCUUUGCCCAGAACUAACUAUUCCAUCAGAAAAAUUUAUUUCCUGUUUCUUAAUUCUACCACAACUCCCAAUCCCAUCCCACAGAUGUCUCAUUCUCUCCCCCUCCGUGCACAUGCAUAGGUUCCUCACUCCCUUGGUCCUAUCACACCCUCUGAGGCUCCCAAUCACUUCCUGGUCUCACAUAUAUCCCUGUCUAUCAAAGAUUCCAUGGUGAUCAUUGCAAUUACUUUCUCAGAUGCACCUUUCUUUUCCUUUUCCUUCUAGCCUUCUGCCAUAUCUGCCUGGCAAAACCCCAACCUUAGAUCCAUUUUACAUUCUACUUACUCAUCUUGUACCUCGGCAGGUAAAAAAUGUUGGGAAAAAAAUAAAAUAACCGUAACAUUGGUAUUGUACAAAUUCAUGACUAUUAACCUAAUCUUUGGUCCAUUUCCUCUAUCAUCUUAUUCAAACUUACCUCAAUAUUCUUCAUUUUCUGAAGGUUUAUCUAUUCCCCCAACCACUGCUACUGUCUGCAAAUAGCAUUUUCCUCUACCUUAUCAAGACUCAGCAUGUGCUUGGGGCAUGGACAUUGUAUUUUUAAAAAGCUCUUCCAGAAGAUUCUGAGGUAAUCUACAGAAAUCCUCCACCACCUAAACUUCUAUCCAGGGAAGCUAGCUCAGCCCUCUGGCUCCACAUUUCUUCUACUUAUUCUGAAUCAGCAACCUGCGGUCCCAGCCAAUGGGUUUCCCAUCUAGGUUCCCUUUAAUUUCAUUUUGCUCCAUUUGAUGAUCUACCUUUAGACUGUGGACCUGGCUUUCAUUGAUGAUUUGUGAUAAUCUCAGCUGCACAUGAAUCUGCUGUCACGAAGCACUGGGCUUCUUACCAUCAGACUUGAGUUAUUGAACUAAUUUAGGCUGAUCAAGAGCCUUAAUAUAUAAUGGAGAAGUUCUAAAUGUUCUUGCCUGGGAAAAUCAUAUCAUAUAGGGACCAUUUAAGGAAAAUUGCUUAUGGAAAGCCAGCAACCUAUCCAACAGAUUUUCUCAUUAAGAGAAUUAAGAGCAAUCAAAGCCAAAUCCAUAGCUGCUUCUCUUUAGACAAAUCAUCUUGAAACUGUUUGCUACUCAAGUCAAAUAUGAUGACUGCUGGCUGCCAAAACUGAGCUCCCAGGAUCUCUCCAGGGAAGGGGUAUCCUUGUUCAUUUCUGCUGCCCCAGAGCACAGCACAGUGCGUGGGUAGAGUAUAAACCCGGUGUACUUCAAAGAUCUGAACUUGGGCCUGUCACAGGGUGGAAAGAGACUUGAGAAAAUUCGCAGCCUCUCAACCAAGUGUCUGCUUCUUCCUGCUCCUCUCUGGUAGACUGCUCAGGAGUGGAAACACCAUCAUCCCAGGGAAGCUUAGGGUGUUUCCUAGACCAGUAUGAGGCAACCAUAGUGUAAGCUUCAAUCCAUGCCGUACAAAGGCCCAGGCAAAAGAAAGAAGAGAUGCAGUCAGAAGAGAAGACAAUGAGGAGAUGGUAGCAGAGAUUGGAAGGGUGGGACCACAAACCAAGGAAUGUUGCAGCCACCAGGAACUUGAAGAGGCAAGAAAUGGAUCCCCCCGCCCCCAGCUUCUGGAGGAUGCAUGGCCCUGUAACACCUUGAU